GAUGAACGCUGGCGGCGUGCUUAACACAUGCAAGUCGAACGGGAAUUCUUUUAUUGCAACUUCGGUCGAUUUAAUUUAAUUCUAGUGGCGGACGGGUGAGUAACGCGUGGGUAACCUGCCUUAUACAGGGGGAUAACAGUCAGAAAUGGCUGCUAAUACCGCAUAAGCGCACAGAGCUGCAUGGCUCAGUGUGAAAAACUCCGGUGGUAUAAGAUGGACCCGCGUUGGAUUAGCUGGUUGGUGGGGUAACGGCCCACCAAGGCGACGAUCCAUAGCCGGCCUGAGAGGGUGAACGGCCACAUUGGGACUGAGACACGGCCCAGACUCCUACGGGAGGCAGCAGUGGGGAAUAUUGCACAAUGGGGGAAACCCUGAUGCAGCGACGCCGCGUGAAGGAAGAAGUAUCUCGGUAUGUAAACUUCUAUCAGCAGGGAAGAUAGUGACGGUACCUGACGAAGAAGCCCCGGCUAACUACGUG
rnacentral:rRNA from 1 species